rnacentral:rRNA from 1 species
GACGAACGCUGGCGGCGUGCUUAACACAUGCAAGUCGAACGGAAAGGCCCUGCUUUUGUGGGGUGCUCGAGUGGCGAACGGGUGAGUAACACGUGAGUAACCUGCCCUUGACUUUGGGAUAACUUCAGGAAACUGGGGCUAAUACCGGAUAGGAGCUCCUGCUGCAUGGUGGGGGUUGGAAAGUUUCGGCGGUUGGGGAUGGACUCGCGGCUUAUCAGCUUGUUGGUGGGGUAGUGGCUUACCAAGGGUUUGACGGGUAGCCGGCCUGAGAGGGUUAACGGCGACAUUGGGACUGCGAUACGGCCCAGACUGCUAUGGGAGGCAGCAGUGGGGAACAUUGCACAAUGGGCGGAAGCCUGAUGCAGCAACGCCGCGUGCGGGAUGACGGCCUUCGGGUUGUAAACCGCUUUCGACUGUGACGAAGCGUGAGUGACGGUAAUGGGUAAAGAAGCACCGGCUAACUACGUG